rnacentral:rRNA from 1 species
UACGUAGGGUGCAAGCGUUGUCCGGAAUUAUUGGGCGUAAAGAGCUCGUAGGCGGUCUGUCGCGUCUGCUGUGAAAACUCAGGGCUUAACCCUGAGCUUGCAGUGGGUACGGGCAGACUAGAGUGAUGUAGGGGAGACUGGAAUUCCUGGUGUAGCGGUGAAAUGCGCAGAUAUCAGGAGGAACACCGAUGGCGAAGGCAGGUCUCUGGGCAUUAACUGACGCUCAUGCACGAAAGCGUGGGGAGCAAACAGG